rnacentral:lncRNA from 1 species
CAGUCUUCAUUUCUCAGCGGAAAAGCCACUCCCUUGAGACUUUCCAGGCACCCCCAACCACAUUUUUUAUCAAGUGUCUAAAAGACACAAUGAACAGAAACCAGAGCUUUUGAAUACAGAUUUCCAGUAAAACCAAACCCAGCCUGGGUCAGAUGCACCUUUCCAGCUGUCGACCGGAAGUUCAGCUUCCGGGAACUUCAGCCCCCUUCUCAGAGGAGCAAGGUCCUAGCACCAACAGCACCUGCAGUGGAGCCCAAGUAUGGCUGCUUCAUGGAGAAGGCAGGUAUCUGUUUGCGUGCACAACUGUGAGUGCUUGCAUCUCGUGUAUUCGAAAAUCCUGUUUAAGAAUGCAGAGGUCCAUACAGUGUCAUUAAAACAAAUGAGUAUAACCCUUUGGUCAUCUAG